ensembl:lncRNA
AUAGGACACAACAUGCUUUAUACUAACUCAAACAUUCCAUGUUCAAUCUGCACUAAAUUUCAUAUGCUUGAUAAAAGUGCUGGACUGAAGAAAUCUACAUGACAAAAUCCAGUUAUAGUCAUAGCGCCACCAGCUGGCAGCAGGAAGAUUGGCACAUAUAAAUGACUUUGACAUAUUCCUCUUAUAUUUACCACAUUAAAAGCAUAUUUCUCGCCGUUCGCUGUUUUACAAAAGCCACCCGGUGGUGGUGAGCCCGGGUGCGAGGGCCCGUUCAUCGCUGCUUGCAGCUUUAAUUAGGGCUCAAGCCUGGAGGGCGAGAGCCCUAUUGUUUUCCUUAGGAUUAUUUGUUAUUAUUAUUAUUAUUUAUUAUUCUUAUUUUUUUUCAAGGUUUCGGGGGCUUUUAGGGCCCUUAACAUGCUUAAAAAGUCUUGAAAAUUGGC